rnacentral:lncRNA from 1 species
CCUGAUGAGUCAGCUCAUUUACAGAUGAGCCAAUCUAAUUCUACAGGCCAUGGCCUAGUUUUUUGUUUGUCAUAGAUGAAUCGACUCGACUCAGAGAUGAGUCAAUCACUAUGAUGAGUCGACUCGAGUUCUAGGAUGAGUCGAUUCGAUUCUACAGACAGUAAAAUUAUAUGAGAUACAAUAUAAAUUAAUUUAGAUUAAAAAUUAUUUUGACAUCUGUUGUUGCUUAUUUGGCUAGGUCA